GACGAACGCUGGCGGCGUGCUUAACACAUGCAAGUCGAACGGAAAGGCCCUGCUUUUGUGGUGUUCUCGAUUGGCGAACGUGUGAGUAACACGUGAGUAACCUGCCCCUGACUUUGUGAUAACUUCUCGAAACUGGGGCUAAUACCGCAUAGCAUCUCCUGCUGCAUGUUGUGGGUUGGAAAGUUUCGGCGGUUGGGGAUGGACUCGCGGCUUAUCAGCUUGUUGGUGGGGUAGUGGCUUACCAAGGCUUUGACGGGUAGCCGGCCUGAGAGGGUGACCGGACACAAUGGGACUGAGAUACGGCCCAGACUCCUACGGGAGGCAGAAGUGGGGAAUAUUGCACAAUGGGCGGAAGCCUGAUGCAGCAACGCCGCGUGCGGGAUGACGGCCUUCGGGUUGUAAACCUCUUUCGACUGUGACGAAGCGUGAGUGACGGUAACGGGUAAAGAAGCACCGGCUAACUACGUG
rnacentral:rRNA from 1 species